GUGGUGGGCAAGCUGUAGCAGCCCAGCCCCAGACCGCUGUCCGUGCUCUGCUCCCGGGAGUGGUAGGGCCCACUGCGGAGGAGGAGGGAGGCGUCAUCAGUCAGCGGGGACCCCUCAGUCAGUGGGCCCCUCAGUCAGCAGGGACCCCUCAUCAGCAUCAAAGUCACUGUGUUCAGGAAGAGAAGUCAGAAAAACCUCGUCCUCCCUUUCAACUUGAGAUGCACACCCUAAUCCUGAGGAAGGUGACCGAUGGCACGCUGACUGGCUGGCGUUCCCAGCGUGGGCACUGA